ensembl:lncRNA
CUUCCAAGGAGGAGCACAUGAAAAAUGUAAAAUGGCAAAGUGUUACUCCAAUACUGUUCCUUCCUGGAAAAGAAAAGUUUUCUCAUGAAAACAAGAAAAGCCAAAUUCGCAAUGAGACCAAGGCAGGAAAAUAUAUCAAGAAAGAACAAAUUUAAGAAAGCGUGAGUUGCUCUUGAGGAGGCCAGGAUUUCAAUGUGGACUUCAGGAGACAUUUACUUGGAGGCAUCUUAAUUCUUGAAGCAGAAAGGCCCAACUUUGCCCUCCAUACUGAAACAGAAGGUAAAUUGUGACUGUUAAGUCAAACCUAACUUAGGAUAUCCAUCCUCGAAAAAUUUCUUUUGCAUCUAAAGCUAUGUAGACAGUUAACUUCUAUUUCUUAAACAUUUGUUUAUUGAAUUUGAAUUUCAAAUGUAGAAACAAUCUGUGAAAGUAACAGGAACUCUCAUUCAUUGCUGGGAGGAAUGCAAACUAGUACAGCCACUUUGGAAGACAGUUUGGCAGUUUCUUACAAAACUAAAUGCUCUUACCAUACGAUCCAGCAAUCACACUCCUAGGUAUUUUUCCAACUGAGUUGAAAACAUACGUCCACAUAAAAACCUGCCCAUGAAUGUUUAUAUCAAAUCAUAAUUGCCAAAACCUGAAAGCAACCAAGAUGUCCUUCAAUAGGUGAAUGGAGAAACAAACUGUGGUACAUCCUGACAAUGUAACAUUCAGCUAUAAAAAGAAAUGAGCUAUCAAGCCACAAAAAGACAUGCAGGAAACUUAAAUGCAUAUUGCAAAAUAAAAGCAGUCAGUCUAUAAAGGCUACAUCCUGUGCGAUGCCAAGUAUAUGACACUCUAAAAAAGGUAAAACUAUGGAGAUAGUAAAACGAUUAGUGGUUGCCAGGGGCUCGGGAGAGGGACGUAUGAAUAGGUGGAGCACAGAAGAUUCCUAAGGCAGUGAAACUAUUCUGUAUGACACUGUAAUAAUAAACACAUAUCAUUAUACAUUUGUUAAAAACCACAGAAUGUACAACACAAAAAGUGAGCCCUAAUGGAAACUACAGACUUUAGUUAAUAAUAGUGAGUCAAUAUUGGUUUAUCGAUUGUACAAAGGUACCACACCAAUGCAAGAUGUUAGCAACAAGGAAUCUUUGUGUGGUCAAAAGAAGACAUAUGGGAACUCUCUGUACUGUCUGCCCAAUUUUUCUAUAAACCUGAAACUGCUAUAAAAAUAUAAAGUAUAAUAAUAUUUUUAAGUAGCCAUGAAAACAUUCCAAGACAGUUUGCCGUUUUCCUUGUUCAAAGACACAAAGAUAACCUUUCACAUUUUUAUAGAUAUUAUCUUAUUCUAAUAUUCUUUGUCUUUUAAAUUCAAAUUAUAAAAAUUUCUGGCUUUCAUAUUCAUAAGGAUCAAUAAAAUGAAUAUAGUAGUAGAGUGUUCAAGUAAAAAUUAAUCUAUUUUUUUCAGCCGAAAGCUAUGCACUGUCCUCUCUACGGAUAAAGUCUCUUGAGCUGUUCUUGAGAACUUCAUCCACUAUGCAGAUAAAAUGUGUAAAGUGACCUUUUGUUCAGGCCAGGAGAAGUUCAGCAUAACCAUUGUCAUGAAGUGUUUGGGGGAGAGUAUAGACU